rnacentral:rRNA from 1 species
UACGGAGGGUGCAAGCGUUGCUCGGAAUUAUUGGGCGUAAAGGGCAGGUAGGUGGUCUCAUUUGUCUGGGGUGAAAUCCUUGAGCUUAACUCAAGAAGUGCCCCAGAAACGGUGAGACUGGAGUACUGGAGAGGGUCGUGGAAUUCCCGGUGUAGCGGUGAAAUGCGUAGAGAUCGGGAGGAACACCAGAGGCGAAGGCGGCGACCUGGACAGUUACUGACACUCAACUGCGAAAGCGUGGGGAGCAAACAGG